CCUACGAGUGGCAGCAGUGAGGAAUAUUGGUCAAUGGGCGCUAGCCUGAACCAGCCAAGUAGCGUGAAGGAUGACUGCCCUAUGGGUUGUAAGCUUCUUUUAUAGGGGAAUAAAGUGCAGUAUGUAUACUUCUUUGCAUGUACCUUAUGAAUAAGGAUCGGCUAACGCCGUGCCAGCAGACGCGGUAAUACGGAGGAUCCGAGCGUUAUCCGGAUUUAUUGGGUUUAAAGGGAGCGUAGGCGGGUUGUUAAGUCAGUUGUGAAAGUUUGCGGCUCAACCGUAAAAUUGCAGUUGAUACUGGGAUCCUGGAGUACAGUAGAGGUGGGCGGAAUUCGUGGUGUAGCGGUGAAAUGCUUAGAUAUCACGAAGAACUCCGAUUGCGAAGGCAGCCUGCUGGACUGUAACUGACGCUGAUGCUCGAAAGUGUGGGUAUCAAACAGGAUUAGAUACCCCUGUAGUC
rnacentral:rRNA from 1 species